AGUAAUACAUCGGAACGUGUCUUCUUAUGGGGGAUAACUAGCCAAACGGGCGAGCUAAUACCGCAUGAGACCUGAGGGUGAAAGCGGGGGAGUCGCAAGACCUCGCGCUGGAAGAGCGGCCGAUGUCCGAUUAGCUAGUUGGUGAGGUAAAGGCUCACCAAGGCGACGAUCGGUAGCUGGUCUGAGAGGACGACCAGCCACACUGGGACUGAGACACGGCCCAG
rnacentral:rRNA from 1 species